rnacentral:rRNA from 1 species
UACGGAGGGUGCAAGCGUUAUCCGGAUUCACUGGGUUAAAGGGUGCGUAGGUGGGUUGGUAAGUCAGUGGUGAAAUCCCCGAGCUUAACUUGGGAACUGCCAUUGAUACUAUAUCUUGAAUACCGUGGAGGUCAGCGGAAUAUGUCAUGUAGCGGUGAAAUGCUUAGAUAUGACAUAGAACACCAAUUGCGAAGGCAGCUGGCU